UACGUAGGGUGCAAGCGUUGUCCGGAAUUAUUGGGCGUAAAGAGCUCGUAGGCGGUCUGUCGCGUCGGCUGUGAAAACUCGGGGCUCAACCCCGAGCCUGCAGUCGAUACGGGCAGACUAGAGUGCUGUAGGGGAGACUGGAAUUCCUGGUGUAGCGGUGAAAUGCGCAGAUAUCAGGAGGAACACCGGUGGCGAAGGCGGGUCUCUGGGCCGAUACUGACGCUGAGGAGCGAAAGCGUGGGGAGCGAACAGG
rnacentral:rRNA from 1 species